UACGGAGGGGGCUAGCGUUGUUCGGAAUUACUGGGCGUAAAGCGCACGUAGGCGGCUUUGCAAGUUAGAGGUGAAAGCCCGGGGCUCAACCCCGGAAUUGCCUUUAAAACUGCAUCGCUAGAAUUGUGGAGAGGUAAGUGGAAUUCCGAGUGUAGAGGUGAAAUUCGUAGAUAUUCGGAAGAACACCAGUGGCGAAGGCGACUUACUGGUCCGGUUCUGACGCUGAGGCGCGAAAGCGUGGGGAGCAAACAGG
rnacentral:rRNA from 1 species